GAUGAACGCUGGCGGCGUGCCUAAUACAUGCAAGUCGAGCGAACAGACGAGGAGCUUGCUCCUCUGACGUUAGCGGCGGACGGGUGAGUAACACGUGGAUAACCUACCUAUAAGACUGGGAUAACUUCGGGAAACCGGAGCUAAUACCGGAUAAUAUAUUGAACCGCAUGGUUCAAUAGUGAAAGACGGUUUUGCUGUCACUUAUAGAUGGAUCCGCGCCGCAUUAGCUAGUUGGUAAGGUAACGGCUUACCAAGGCAACGAUGCGUAGCCGACCUGAGAGGGUGAUCGGCCACACUGUAACGGAGCCACGGUCCAGACUCCUACGGGAGGCAGCAGCAGGGAAUCUUCCGCAAGGGGCGAAAGCCUGACGGAGCAACGCCGCGUGAGUGAUGAAGGUCUUCGGAUCGUAAAACUCUGUUAUUAGGGAAGAACAAAUGUGUAAGUAACUAUGCACGUCUUGACGGUACCUAAUCAGAAAGCCACGGCUAACUACGUG
rnacentral:rRNA from 1 species